rnacentral:rRNA from 1 species
CCAAUAGCGUAUAUUAAAGUUGUUGCAGUUAAAAAGCUCGUAGUUGAAUUUUAGGCCUGACCGGACGGUCCGUCUCUGGCGAGUACUGUUAUGUUGUCGGGUCUAGCCUUCUGGUGAGCCGGUAUGCCCUGUAUUGGGUGUGUCGGGGAACCAGGACCAUUACCUUGAAAAACUUAGAGUGUUUAAAGCGGGCUUUUGCUUGAAUCGAUGAGCAUGGACUGAUAGAAUAGGACGUUGGUUCUAUUUUGUUGGUCUAGGACCACCGUAAUGAUUAAUAGGGAUAGUUGGGGGCAUUAGUAUUCAAUUGUCAGAGGUGAAAUUCUUGGAUUUAUUGAAGACUAACUACUGCGAAAGCAUUUGCCAAGUAUGUUUUCAUUAAUCAAGAACGAAAGUUAGGGGAUCGAAGACGAUCAGAUACCGUCGUAGUCUUAACCAUAAACUAUGCCGACUAGGAAUCGGGCGACGUUAUUUUCAUGACUCGCUCGGCGCCUUAUG